GAUGAACGCUGGCGGCGUGCCUAAUACAUGCAAGUCGAGCGGUAAGGCCCUUCGGGGUACACGAGCGGCGGACGGCUGAGUAGCGCGUAGGAACGUACCCCAAAGUGAGGAAUAAGACCCAGAAAUGGUGUCUAAUACCGCAUGUGGUCUUCGGAUUAAAGCCUUCGGGCGCUUUGGGAGCGGCCUGCGUAUGAUUAGAUUGUUGGUGAGGUAAUGGCUCACCAAGGCGACGAUCAUUAGCUGGUCUGAGAGGAUGAUCAGCCAGACUGGGACUGAGACACGGCCCAGACUCCUACAGGAGGCAGCAGUAGGGAAUUUUCCACAAUGGACGAAAGUCUGAUGGAGCAACGCCGCGUGCAGGAUGAAUGCCUUCGGGUUGUAAACUGCUUUUAUAGGUGAAGAUUAUGACGGUAACCUAUGAAUAAGGAUCGGCUAACUCCGUGCCAGCAGCCGCCGCAG
rnacentral:rRNA from 1 species